UCGCGGAACCCUCCUGGCCGCGACCCCUUCCGUGCGCGCCGCGCUCACCGCCCCGGCUCCGGAAGAGCUUCAAACGUCAUCACCGGCGCCGGCCGGCCGUUUCCGCCCUUUCGCCUCGACUCGCGGCCGCGCUCGCCCCGCCCUCCCGCCGGCGCGGCGGUCUCGCUCCUCGCUCCUUCCGUUGGCGGCUACCGUUGGUGCGCGAGGCGGCCCGGCGGUCCCGCUCGCGUUCCCGUCGCCUUUUGCCCCCGGUAGUUUCCCCACGCGUACUUCAAACGACGAGCUGCAGCGCGCGGUACGCGCCAGCUGGACGCUGUGCGUUCCGAAGCGGCCUCUCCGGUUCUGCCGUGCAGCGAAGCCCGCAGCGUCACUAACAAAACAGGCAACGCCGCGGUGCCGCUUUUACCGUGCGCUUAGGGCCGUGUGCUUUCGGCUGUGCCGCCGCUCCCUGCUGCCAGGCCCCUACCCGACCCCGACGUGCACGUGGGACGGGAAUUCGAGUACUCUGUUUUCUUGUUUCCUCUGGAAAACAUGGUAGCUUCCGCUGCGUGGUGCUGGUUAAUCCUAGCGUUAACAAAAGUCUUGUGGCCCCCGAAUGCAGGCCACCGAUCCUUAAAAGAAUGGGGAUCUGCUACUCAAUGUUUUUUAAGAGUUGAUGGAAAUCAGUAAGGAAAGUGUUUUUUAACCACAGGAGCACGUGAGUGUGUGCACUGACAAUGGCUGGUAAACCAGCGAAGUUUUGGGCUUAGUUCUAUUUUCCUAAAGCCCAGCCUGAACCUCCUCUGGCACAACUUAAGGCCGUUCCCUUUUGUCCCCUCCCUGUUAUCUGGGAGAAGAGGCCAACGCUUUACAAGAGCUUGUAUUUCAUUUCCUUCAUCUUAAGUGCUGUCUUUUGUCUUAUUUGGAUAAAGUUAGAGCCAGCUGUGUCUGCAGCACUUCUGAAAUGAGCGUUUGUUCUACAGAAUUCUCAAAUAACUGAUGUUUAGCAUAAAAGCGCACCUGCAGAGCUUCCCCCAGGCCACAGCCCACCAAUAUCUAUGCUCUUAAUAACAAGACUGCAUUCAUGCAUUCCGCAGCACUAUGAAGUUACGGCAUUAUCUGCAAGUCACCUUGCUCCAGAUGUCACUCCUAAUUUUCAGAUGUGAGACUCAGAGUUAAAGCAGGUUUAUAAAUAGCUCUGUAGAUGGCAGUUUGGGGGUGAUCCAGGAGAAAGAAGCAGACUGAUGUAGCCACCUCACUCCUACCUCCUGCUGUGACUGUACAAAAAUCACAGAAACAAAACACAUUGGCAGAUCUGUCAGAAUAACAGUUCUGUCCUCUCGUGUGGAACCUGUGGAUUUUUACUGUUGUGUCGUGGAACACAGGCACAAGUUAAGGAUUCUGUUUUGUCGUAGUCACAACAAACAGAAUUUUAGGCUAAUACAAGUAAACUCACUCCUAUCUCCUGAUGUUGCUGUAGUAUGUGUGAAAAACACAGUGCUUAUUUUUAAGAGACCUGACUGGGUCUUUAUAGUUUGAUCUAAGAAGCAACUGAUUUCUUUAACAGAAGAUUUUACACAAGAAAAGCACAUCUUAAAUCUCUUUGGCUGUCUGAGCACCUGGCAGAUGGUCCAAGUGCACCAAGAUCUGAGCUGUUAGCAGGGAGCUGCCCUCCCUGUCUCUCAGCACUGCAGUGUGAGGUCAGGAAGUGGCACUGAGGGAUGCGUCCUCUGCUGAGCUGGUCUCAGUCAAACAGGGCUGCAGCAGCGCUCAGUUUGGUUCUGUUACAAACCUGCAUUUUAGUUCAUAUAUUAUUCCAAAGUAAUCAUUUAAAAUGGUAAGCUUGAUGGCUCAAGCCUAGUUUCUUGCUAAUGGAGGCAACCGUGUAAUUUUAUCAGUCAGUAUUGUAUUAUUGAGCCCUGGAUAAGGUUGAAUAAUUACAAAGCGCUGCUCUUCCUGGCACAAACAGCAUGGCCUAUCGGAGGCUAUUUGUUCAGUUUCUUUUAUGAUAGCAACCUCUGCUCUGAUCAAAGAGUUGCUCCUUCUAAUCUUGCAGAGUAGAACAAAUUGUUUUCCUCCAUUUUUAUAAAACAGAGUUUCUACCUCCUCUCCCUGCUAGUUUGAGCCUCAUAUGACUGCAGCAGCAGUAAAAGCACUUGUAGCCUUUGGAGAAGCCUAGUGUUAGAUUCAUCAUGCUGGUAACCUGUUGGUUUGUUGUUUGUUUUUUUUUUUGUUAUGGGGAGAAGCUGCUCACAAAAGUCAGGCAUGAAUCAUAGUGGAUUAAACGAGAACAUUUUGGGAAGGCGUGAAAUUUCAUUCAGUUACAUAAUAGCAUUUUAUAUUUCAGAACCCCCAAAUAAAACAUUCUUUUAGAUACCAUAAUAAUCAUCAAGACUUGUUUAUGAGGAAGGACAAAAUAAUUAAGGUAUUUUUUCUUGUCUCCCAGUUUCCACGUGAGUGCAUAACCCAACGGUGUGUUUGCCAUUCACUGGGCUUUGAGGCAAUGGCUUACAAUAGAUCUAACAGGAUCUAAUCGGGAAAGUAAUGCCCAACAAACACAUUUCCUUUUCUGAGAGUGCGAGUUUGAGUAACUUCAGACAUUUGUUUUUGUUGCUAGCAUAGAGCUGCAGAAAAUCUUUAGAAAAAUAAUCAUCCUUUGUUAUCCCUUUCAUUUGUGACCUCUACUUCAGUAUUCAAAUCUCUUUCAGCUAUUGGCCUCUAAUAUCAAAAGUCAAUAGCAGGAAAACCCAAGGUUUGCAUUCAGUGCAUGCUUUCAAGGACUGUCUUGUGUGGGGGAGAUUCUUUAAAAAGUUCCGUGGGACAACUCAUGUGCCUAAACCUACUGUGUGGUGUAAGCAUCAGCAUGGACGUGCUUUCAGUUUUGUUUAUAACUACUGAAAGAUGUAUUAUCGUUAAAAUCAGGAAGCAGAGAUAUUGCUUUGCAGUUAUAACCGAUGCAAGAACUGGACAAAGUUAGUACUGGUUUUAGAGUCUUGGUAACCCUGACAACACGUGCAAGUACAUAACAUGCAUAGCUUCAGACUGUACAUCUGGUUUUUGCCUCUACCUCCCCUUCUGCAUUGAUUUUAAGUAUGCACCCUUUUCUUCCUGGUUCAUACAUGGGUCUCCUAAUUCAGCCCACUGUGCUGUGCAUUCCAGCACUCCUAAACGGUCUGUACGCACUCAUCUCGUACUUCUUAUGUAUUUUUCCCCUCCAGGGGGGUUUAAAUGGUGAUCAGAAUGUCUGAAAUUGAAUCAGAUAAGGGGAAAAAAGGUGAAAGAAAGCAUCUCUUUCUUAAUGCACUCCAAUUAAAAAAUGAAUGUUGUCUUCAACUUUGAUAACUUUUUUGACAUUUCUGAGUUACUGAAAUGCUUUUCUUUCUGGCAGAGGUUAAUUUUUUUUUUUCCUCUAGUUUUGUUAAGACUUUCCAAAUGUUUAACCCCCACUCAGAACUACUGCAGUUGCCACAAAGCUACAUUUUCCUCAUGUCUCUCUCCAGCCAGUUUCAGUAGCAGCUUUUCUAUUCUAGUGAAUACAACUGCUUUGGUCGAUUUUCUGUAAGUGCUAAAGAACAACAACUUUUUAAAGAAGCUGAAUGCGGUCAGCCUAACACCAACCCUCCUCAUUUUUAUCACUUCAUCUCAACUACCUCUGGUUUUAAUAUUUGUGAGAGUAGGAGGAACAUGGGAGGAGCACAGAAGUUAUACAUCUCCAGAUGAGAUGAUUAUUCAAAUGAGAUACUAAAAAGCUCAAAUGGUGUCAUUUUCAUUAGUUAUAGGAUUGGUGAAUUUGUGUCAUUGGAUGUCCCUAAUGCUCACAGCUUUAAUGGAAUGAAACUGUUGUAACUUCUGUGUGUGUUGCAGCAUUUUUAUUCAUGUCUUUCUGGGAACUGCAAACCCCAAAUUGCUGUAUUUCUUCAUCAUAUAUACCAAAAAGACAAGGUUGCUGCACCUCCUUGGUGCAUAGCAUUGUCUCAAAAAAGAAAAAAAAAAAGAAAAAAGGAAAAAAGAUUAGGCCAUGCAUGCUUAAUUAUUUUAAACCGCAAAAUUGAGUUUGUUCAGCAAUGAUGCAAUUACUGCUAUUCAAGUCAGAGGAAGAAAGGAAGAAGGAGAAGAUGACAAAUGUCUCCAUAUUGAGAUAAUUCCUUUUUCUGUGGUAUAUAUUUUCAGAUUGUUUAAAACUCAGUUUUAACAGUAGUAUGUCAUUCAUGGGAAAGAAAGGUUAUGAACUAUUUUUAUGCAGCCAAGGCAAUUACUUUAACUUUUUUCAAUAUCUGUGUUUCUCCAUUCCAGAAUGCUUUCUGUGAGCUUCUCAGCUGGUGUGACUUUGUGAGUAAAGGAAGUCUAGGCAGAUUCUGACUUACACAAGUUCAGCGUUAGCCUGGAAGAACUGCUGAGAGUCACAGCAGCAAUGUUCAUCAAGGGACUGCACCUCUCUACAUGCAGAAGGUAAAGCACCAACAUCAAUGCUAACACUCAAAUGCACCCAAUACAAAGGCCCAUUCAGUAGUGACUUCUGCCUUCACUUGUCAUGGCACAGUGCCAUCAACAACUUCCUUGAGAUGGAAUGGAAUUUUUUCACUAUUGGAAACAAGAAUAGCCACAACAGAGACAGACUGCUGAAAAAGAUGAACCACAGAGGCUCAAGUAGGAACUUUCAGAGUAAGUAGAGCACAUCUGUUAAGAUCAUUAGUGAAGUGAAGUGAAGUGAAGUGAAGUGAAGUGAAGUGAAGUGAAGUGAAGUGAAGUGAAGUGAAGUGAAGUGAAGUGAAGUGAAGUGAAGAUCAUACGUGAAGAAGCUCACAACUAAAGGUAAGCAUAAGUGGAACAGAUUCACAGUUUAUAAAAAAUGAAAACAUACUAAAAAUAUAUUAAAAUCAUUAGGAAAUUAAGUACAUAAAUGAAAAUACAGUUGGAAAAAAAAAAAAUCAAUGCUCUGUAUGCUAUUGGCACUUCCACACACAUCAGCUCUGCCGACUGUUUUCAAAUGGCAUCUUAAAGAAUGCAAGCAGACAACGAGAAGAUGAGGUUCUCCUGGUGUAUCAGUGGGAUACAAAAGAGCAAAAAUACAUGGGUCAUGAAAUUUGGAAUGACAGAGGCUGAAGAGCUCAGGCAGCAGCAUAGAAAUUGAACACUGAGUGCCACGUAGUUUCUAGGGCAGAAGUGAAUGUGCUGGAUUCCAAAGGCCUCCGGUGAAUUAUGUAAGAGGAAGAAAAAGAUUGCCACUGAGGGUUAUAUCAUGAAACAAACAACAAUCAUGCCACUGCCACAAUUACAGAUAGUGCAUCUAAGAAAUUUAUAAAAAAUCCUGAAGCAAAAAGUUUUUCAGUUUUUCAGUACCAUAAACCACUGUGCUGAGAAUAAUUUUUUUCCUGUAUUUAUUUUGUAAAUAGAUAUGCACUUUUCUCAUAUAAAUAUAUCACUGUAGUAUUUUUGAGGGACCUUGUAUAUAGAAAUGGAUAAAUUGAUCAAGCCCAUACGUCAUCUAUUCUGUAGACUACCUACAAAUAUUCACACACAAAAAAAAAAAAAAAAAUCAGGAGGACAGGGAAGAAAGACUUAAUUGUUAAAAUUCACAGAACUUGCUAACUGAUGGCUCUCACAAAACACUGAAGGCUACGUAUUUAUAAAUUAGAACAUUAGAACAUUAAUUUGGAAAGAACUUUACAAAGAUCAAGUCCAACAUCAUAACUGCUUAAUUAAAGCAGAAUAUUAAGGGGGUUAUUGAAAUGCUUCUUGAACACUGACAGACAUGGAACAUCAGUCACCUUUCUAGGAAGCCUGUUCCAGUGUUUGGCCACUCUCACAGUACAGAAUUUUUUCUUAAAGUGCAGUGUGACCUUCUCCUGGCAUAGUUCUGUGCUGUUCUUGUGUAUCCUGUCAGUGGAUACCAGGGCAAAGAGAGCAGGACCUCUGUCACUACCUCCUCUUAUUAGGGAGUUGUAGAGAAUAACGUCACCUGUGAGCCUUCUCUUGUGCAGACUAGUUAACCAACAUAUCUUCAGCUUCUUGCUGUAGGAUACACCGUCCAGCCCUUCUAUAGGGUCAUAAAAUCAUUAAGUUUGGAAAAGAUCUCUAAGAUCACCCAGUCCAGCCAUCCACCUACCACCAACAUUACCCACUAAGCCAUGUCUCUAAAUACUACAUCUACCUUCUCUUUAAAGACUCACACGGAUGGUGACUACGCAACCGAACUGGGCAACCUGUCCCAAUGCCUCACCACUCUUUCUGAGAAGAAAUUCUUUUCAUAUCUAAUCCGAAUCUCCCCUGGCACAACUUGAGGCCGUUCCCUCAUAUCCUAUCCUUCUACCAUUGUUGCUGCCCUCCUCUGGAUGCACUGAAGUAUCUUACCAUCCUUUGAUAUUGUAGAGCCCAGAACUUCACACAAAACUCAAGGUGAGGCAACAUAUAAUAGGAGAAUCACUUUUUUUUUUUUACUGUCAAAGCAUCCCAAAAUCUAGUUUGCCCUCAUGUCUGCUAGGGCAUACUGCUGACUCAUUUGGGUAAUUCAGGCAAUUUAAUGCAUUAUAAAGAAACCAAUUAAAAAUGCCAACUGUCAAUAAUGUCUUACCUCAAAAGGCAAAACAUAACUAUCCCCAUAUUUGAUGCUAAGGCUGAUACUGGCAUCUGUCACUUGAUAAGGAAAACAGCUAUAUCACUUAUCUCUGAAUUUCAUGAGACAAAUUGAUAGGGAUGGUAGAAUGUCCUAGGGAUCAAAUGUAGAGCGGUUUAAAAGCAGGGUAGUCAAUGAGAUUCACUAACAGGACUCAAACACUUUAGAGAUUAAUGUUAAAACUGAGACUAUUUUGGAUGUAAAAACAGCACAGCAAGAAAUACAGCAAUUUAUGAAGUCAGUCUCUUCUUCUGUUCAAUAGAACAAUGCAAGAUGGAAGAAAAUGGUGACUUCUGACUGACUGCUGCACCACAUUUGAUAUACUUGCUAACUUGCAUGCAGCUUUCUCCCAGCAAGUAAAACCAAUAGAUAUCCCAUCUAAAAGACAUUAAAUAAAACCUCAGUUAAAAAAAUAAAUCACACAGCUUCUUGCAGAAGUUGAGAACAGAGCCAUAGAAGAGACACAGGUCAUCUAAAAAAUAAGCAAAGAGGAAGGAACUAACUUCCCCAUUCUGAAAUUCCACAAUAUUCAGCAAUAUGAAUGAGUAAACAACUGUGAGACACAUCACAGAGGUGCGGAUUGGGCCACUGCUUGUAGAUGUAAGGCAACCAGGAGCUUGCACAUUCAUCUUACUAACACCUAUAGAGCAAUGAACACACAACCAAGGUAUCUUGCAAUUAUCCAUAAUAAGCUCCACCGGUAUAAUCAGGAAAGAAGCUUUUCAAAAACUACUAUAAAUAUCAGAAAAUGGUUUUUUGAAGCACCUCACACACAUCAUUUCAUGAUGUGCAUGAAAUAACAGUGCUAAAACUGAGAUAUUAAGAAUUGCACAGAGCUGAUUUCUCAUGCAGUAGUUCUACAUCAUAAAGAGAAAGCUGAGAAAAAUGUGUUUUUGUUUCUAUGGGAAAGCAUCAUUUAAAGUAACUAUAUACCACGAACUUGAAAGAAUAAGAACCUGCUCUGAUCACUGAAUGAUCACUAUUACUAUAAAGUAAUAGUGAUUACAAUUACUAAAGCAAUAUACUACUAAAAAUGUAUUAUUGAGAAGAUACAUUCUUGAAAAUAUAUGUUGGAACGAUUACAGCCUACUCAGACCUGAUCAACAAGACAGAAAACAGGCUUGCACUCACUUCUCCCAAAUCUGCUUACAAGGCUUCUCAAGACCUUUAGGGCUAGCAUGGUGUGAAAGAACAUUUUUCCAACUUUGCAGUAGUAAAUGUGUUGUUAACAGGCAAUUGGGAAACCAUCUAAACAAAAAGUAAGGGCUAACUUACUUAGGGGAACAAGGAGACAUUAAUAUCCCUGUCUUGAGAUGGACUUUGGAUGAUAUAAUGUCACAUUAUGCCAUCAGGUUAUUCAAUUUAAGCAUAAGAUUGUAAUAUGAAAAACAUACACCAUCUCUAACAGUGCUCACAUAAAAUAUUUUCAAACACACAUGAAAAAAAAUGUUGGUAUGCUUUUCAGCAUAACUGAGACGUCUCUGCUUUAGAGAUGUGCUUGAUGUUAGAGAAUAUAGGUGGGAAUAACGAGGUCUGUAUCUUAUCUUGUCUCUGCCACUUUGAAGAAAGCACUGAAUAUUGAAUAUUCUGGCUACUCUUUUCCGUGUCCUGAAUUCUGGCAUGAAGUUCAGUUUUGUAAGAACUGUUCUGGUGUUGAUUUGUGCUGGCAGAUUUGUGCUCUUGAAUCUGUUUCAGCAGAGGACUACAAAUAUAAGCCAUUAAUAAGUCACAAUAGCAAACUAAACUUAUUGGAAUUAGGUGUUUGACUUAUGAAGGUGUAGUUAGUCUAUGGAUAGUAAUUCUUGUUGAUUCAAACACGCUUAUUUUAAUGAGAGAUAACUCUGGAAAGCUGAAAGUGAGUGACUGAUCACCCAGAAUGAAUGGCCUAAUGUGAAAACAAAGAUGUGCCCAAAAUAUAGGACAUAUAUUCCCUAUGUGGAAUACUGUUUGCAGGUCUCUGCCUAUUCUGCUACAGUAAUCAAAUCCAUUCAGUGUUUAUGUUUGCUUGCUGGACAGGUAUUCUUGCUCACUUUGUAUCUAUGAGUCCAUCUCUGUUCAAAUAAAAGGCAUAUAUCUGUU